CGUCUGUGAUGAUAAUUUGUAGGCUUGUUUCUCAAAACAUUCGCAGUGGCCGACCAAGAGUUUUCGCCUUCGCCAGGCUUGAGAACUAAUGUUGUUCUUAUCCUUCCUUGGAUGUCUGAGACG